GACGAACGCUGGCGGCGUGCCUAAUACAUGCAAGUAGAACGCACAGUUUAUACCGUAGCUUGCUACACCAUAGACUGUGAGUUGCGAACGGGUGAGUAACGCGUAGGUAACCUGCCUGGUAGCGGGGGAUAACUAUUGGAAACGAUAGCUAAUACCGCAUAAUAUUAAUUAUUGCAUGAUAAUUAAUUGAAAGGUGCAAUUGCACCACUACCAGAUGGACCUGCGUUGUAUUAGCUAGUAGGUGAGGUAACGGCUCACCUAGGCGACGAUACAUAGCCGACCUGAGAGGGUGAUCGGCCACACUGGGACUGAGACACGGCCCAGACUCCUACGGGAGGCAGCAGUAGGGAAUCUUCGGCAAUAGACGAAAGUCUGACCGAGCAACGCCGCGUGAGCGAAGAAGGUUUUCGGAUCGUAAAGCUCUGUUGUAAGAGAAGAACGGGUGUGAGAGUGGAAAGUUCACACUGUGACGGUAUCUUACCAGAAAGGGACGGCUAACUACGUG
rnacentral:rRNA from 1 species